rnacentral:rRNA from 1 species
CGCAAGAGUGAACUAGCUAACUGRAAUCAUAGAAUUUUUUAAAAUUCAUGAUGUCGUAAGGGAAAAUAAUGAUAAUACCUUACUAUUAGUGUUGUCCAAAGCUGGUGCCAGAAGACUCGGUAAGACCAGAAACGCAAACGUUAAUCAUCAUAAACAGGCGUAAAGGGUUUGUAGGCAGCUUUUAUCAGAUUAUGCAUUCAAAAUAAAGUAGUCUAAUUAAAAGCUAGAAUCAAAAAGAGGUUAUAGUGUAUAACGCCUAGAGGAGGGCUGAUAUCCUUAGAUCCUAGGCAGAAUACUAAGGGCGAAGGCCACUUUCCAUUAAUGAUUGACGCUGAGAAACGAAGGUUAGGGUAGGAAAUAGGAUUAGAUACCCCGGUACUCCUUUCUGUAAACGAUGAAUGGUAGUCAUUAGUUUUAAUAAAUAAUUUAAAAUAACUAGAGACGAAGUUAACACAAUAACCAUUCCGCCUUGUGAGUACUACUGCAAAGUAGAAAACAAAAAAAUUAGUCGGUCUCGAAGCAAACGGAGUGAAGCAUGUUAUUU